rnacentral:pre_miRNA from 15 species
ACCUUGCUUUCGGUGGAGCUCUCGGUGUAAGCCAGUGUUCAGUCUAUUGUUUCACAUUGGUUUCGAUUGUGACUAGAUCGAACACUCGCUUGCAACCUGGGUUUGGUCAGCGCUGCUACUU